UACGUAGGGGGCAAGCGUUGUCCGGAUUUAUUGGGCGUAAAGAGCGUGUAGGCGGCCGUACAGGUCAGCUGUGAAAACUCGAGGCUCAACCUCGAGACGUCGGUUGAAACCGUACGGCUAGAGUCCGGAAGAGGAGAGUGGAAUUCCCGGUGUAGCGGUGAAAUGCGUAGAUAUUGGGAGGAACACCAGUGGCGAAGGCGGCUCACUGGACUGGUACUGACGCUGAUGCGCGAAAGCGUGGGGAGCAAACAGGG
rnacentral:rRNA from 1 species